rnacentral:rRNA from 1 species
AUUGAACGCUCGCGGGAUGCUCUACACAUGCAAGUCGAACGGCAGCGCGGACUUCGGUCUGGCGGCGAGUGGCGAACGGGUGAGUAAUGUAUCGGAACGUGCCCAGUAGCGGGGGAUAACUACGCGAAAGCGUAGCUAAUACCGCAUACGCCCUACGGGGGAAAGCAGGGGAUCGUAGGACCUUGCACUAUUGGAGCGGCCGAUAUCGGAUUAGCUAGUUGGUGAGGUAACGGCUCACCAAGGCGACGAUCCGUAGCUGGUUUGAGAGGACGACCAGCCACACUGGGACUGAGACACGGCCCAGACUCCUACGGGAGGCAGCAGUGGGGAAUUUUGGACAAUGGGGGCAACCCUGAUCCAGCCAUCCCGCGUGUGCGAUGAAGGCCUUCGGGUUGUAAAGCACUUUUGGCAGGAAAGAAACGUCGCGGGCUAAUACCCCGUGGAACUGACGGUACCUGCAGAAUAAGCACCGGCUAACUACGUG